rnacentral:tRNA from 2 species
GGCCCGUUGGUCAAGUGGUUAAGACACCGCCCUUUCACGGCGGUAACAUGGGUUCAAAUCCCGUACGGGUCAC